GAUGGAUGUGUAUAUAUGUGUGUGCGUAUGCAGUUAUGUAUGCACAUAUAUAUUUAUUUAUACCUAUAUGUACACACACAUAUGUAUGUAUCUC
rnacentral:pre_miRNA from 1 species